ensembl:lncRNA PCBP1-AS1 PCBP1 antisense RNA 1
GAACACAAAAUGGCGACACGUGGUUAGCAUUCGUCGCCAACGAGAAAUUGGGGUCGGCCCGAAAGCUCUAGAAUGCACCCCUCUUCCUCCCCGGGGCCUUCCACCUCCGCGAGUUUUAUGACUUAAAAAAGCCCACAGGCUGGUCUGAAGAGGAAGACAAACAUAAAGAUGAAGUGCUUAAUUCAAGGUCACACAAUGUCGGGGAUGGACCUCCAGAUUUCCUUACUGACCUGCAUUAUCUUGUGGAUACCUGAGUGAAUUCCACACCACCCAUUUUAUAGAUGAAACCACUGAGACAUGGAGCAAUUGACUGAGUAGUCACUGCCCCACCCCUGCCUGGAGCCUCACACAUGACUCGCCUCCUCUCAGUGACCACAGGUUGGUUGAGGGGUUUAACAAGGCUAAGAAGGUGAGACGUGGUCUUGUAACACAGUGGUUAAGAAUGUGACUUUGGAGCCAGCCUGCUAGGGGCUGAAUUCUGACUCAGCCAUUUACUAACUGUGUGACCUUAGGUAAGUCAUUUACCUUCUUUGUCCCUCAGUUUCAUCUCGGUUAAGUAGGGAUAAUGAUAGCACCUAUUUUAUAGGGUUAUUGUGAGGAAUAAAUCCAAGUAAAAUGCUUAGAAUAGUAACUGAAACAUAGCACUCAUUAGGAAUGCUUUAAUUUUCAUUUAUUUGAGUAUUAAAGGUUGAAUUUUCAGAGGUAUUUUGGACCUUUGUAUUUUUUCUUUAAAUCACUUAUUCAUGACUUUUGAACUUUUUUUUUUCUUUUAGAGACAGGGUCUUGGUUUGUUGUCUAGGCUGGAAUGCAGUGGUGCAAUCAUAGCUCACUGUAGCCUUGAACUCUUGGGCUCAAGAGAUCCUCCUGCCUCAGCCUCGUGAGUAGCUGGGCCUACAGGCGCCUGCUACCACACCUGGCUAAUUUUUUAUUUUUUGUAGAGAUGGGUUCUUGCAGCCCAGACUGGUCUUGAGCUUUGGCCUGAAGUGCUCCUCCUGCCUUGGCCUCUCAAAGCAUUGGGGUUACAGGUGUGAAGCACUGCACCUUGCCUACACAUUUUUUCCAAUAAUUUUUUUUAUUAAUUUGUAAGAGUUAACAUGUCGACUAUCAUAUAUAACAUAGAAUUGUUCCCAUUUUGUCAUUUCCUUUCAACUUUGUCUAUGUAGCUUUUUUUCUGUGUGCAAAUUUUACAUUUUUAGGUAGUCAGAAAAUCUCUUCCCUUGUAAUUUUUUCUGCUACUAGACCAAUGUUUAGAAAAAAGCGUGCUUCCCCACCUCAAAAUUAUAAAAAUAGUUACUUGUUCUUUUUGAGUACUGUGUGUGUUUAAAUCUUUAAUCUUUAAAUUUAAAUCUUUGAUCCAUCUGGUAUUUAUUUUGAUAUGAAGAGAGUGGUUGGGAUCUGGCUGUAUUUCUUUUUUCUUUUUUUUUCUUUUUUCUUUUUUUGACGAAGUCUCACUGUUGCUCAGGCUGGAGUGCAAUGGCAUGAUCUCGGCUCAUCACAACCUCUGCUUCCUGGGUUCAAGCGAUUCUCCUGCCUCAGCCUCCCGAGUACCUGGGACUACAGGCACUCGCCACCAUGCCCGGCUGAUUUUUGUAUUUUUAAUAGAGAUGGUUUCACUAUGUUGGCCAGGCUGGUCUCGAACUCCUGACCUUGUGAUCUGCCCACCUCAGCCUCGAAAAGUGCUGGGAUUACAGGCGUGAGCCACUGCGCCCAGCCUUGUAUUUUUUUUCAGUUUGGGUAGCUGUCCCUAAUUCAUUUGUUAAAGGAGAAGCAAGAGCAAGAACCUUUAAUCUGUUCUCCUCUUCCCUAAUUUGAAAGUAGCUUGUUAUUUUGAAUAUCACUUUCUCUGAAAUAGCACAUCUCCAUCUCAGAGAAUGGAUUUAAUGUUUGGAUACAGCCAAAAGUCAUUUCAUUACCAAACCAUGGGGUGAAUAUACCAUGUAAAGCAGUUUGGGAUCAGAACUCACAGUCUGAAUUGUAAGUGAUGAGACUGCUGUCUCUCUGCUACAGCUUCUUGGCUGGCUCUGAAGGCUCUUUGAAGGCAGAUCCUAACAAGGGGACUGCUUUGAAGGGCCAUUGUUCAUUUGGAAUGAUAAAGUCUAUGUUGUUCAAAAAACAAAUGCUUGUAGCAGGUAUUUUUUCACUCCAGACUGAGAAUAUUGGUGGGAUAUUGAUAAGGGGUACUGAAUGGUAAUAAACAUGUGCUCUAGCUCUGUGCUAGUCAGCUUAUUUCAGAACUCUAGUUUGAUUCAGUUUCUUGCCUCUGACUCAAAAUGGAGGGAGAGUGAUUUUUACAUAAGAGAACACACCCACAUAUCCUUUUGGCAGCAGCUACCUGCCAGAGAUGUUGAAGAAGAGUAGCCAACCUUUACACAGCAGAUAUUGUGUGCCAGUCAUAGUCCUAAGUAUAAUACCUUACAUGUAUAAACUUCUUAUAAGGUUGGUGCUCUGUACCGAAUUGAAUAGUAUCCCCCAAAAUUCAUGUUGUCCCAGAACCUAUGAAAGUGAUCUUACUU